rnacentral:rRNA from 1 species
UACGUAGGGAGCGAGCGUUGUCCGGAAUCAUUGGGCGUAAAGAGCGUGUAGGUGGAUCAAUUAGUCUGCUGUGAAAGUCAAAGGCUCAACCUUUGAAAGCCGGUGGAUACUGUUGAUCUAGAGUACGGAAGAGGCGAGUGGAAUUCCUGGUGUAGCGGUGGAAUGCGCAGAUAUCAGGAGGAACACCAAUAGCGAAGGCAGCUCGCUGGGACGUUACUGACACUGAGAUGCGAAAGCGUGGGGAGCAAACAGG